ACUAUUUUAAAUCCUAAAGUUUCUAUGGAAUAUUUGUUUUAUAGGACUUUAUAGCUACUUGGUUUAUGUACGGCAGGAACCGAAGGCUGAUGUUUAUAUUAGUUCAGUCUGUGAAAUAUUUUUGAUAGGCCUAUUUAUGAUUUAGACCUGGCUAGGAUUUAGAUUGCCUACAGCUCAGGUUUCAUGUUGGUCUGGCAAUUUUUCCUUCACGUCACAAAAAUUUUUCAUCUUGAACACAACAGCCUUACCAAAUCAUCAGAGGGGAAAAUGUUGACACAUACACACACACAGCCGCGAAACUAGCCUGGGAAUCUGUUUCCCCAUGCUUUCUCCAGGAAUGUUGGUGGUGGUCUUUAGUACUUGCAGCCUGGAGGACUGCACAAGACUGUGCUCCAGAGACCCUACACAGCGAUGUCUCAGACGAUCUAGCGAAGGCCACUGCAGGAAAAUGGUUGUCUGUUUUGUCUACCACAUGUGAUGGAAGGAAUCCAAGUUAAACACUCUCUCCAGAGCAUGCUCCAAGACAGAUGACUGGGCCUCAGGCUUGGCCAAUACAAUGCACUUCUAUUCUCUAUUUAUUUUUGUAGUUCAAAGACCUGGCAGUAACCAACUUGAUGCCUGCCAUAAGGACCAGUGCACUGUUGAUGACUGCCCAGUGAUUUUUAUAUCUGUAUGCCAGCUACUCAGAUAGACCACGUAUAAAGGGUAGGGGGAUUUUAGAAAGGAAAAGAAACCCCAGCUUCCACUGAGCUUUGAAAUUUCAGAUGAUAUACUGCCAACUUACAGACCCUACUUUAAUCAGAGCAGCCACAUGAGAAGACUGUUUCUAUUUACCCUAGGUCAUUUAGGAAACCAGUGAUAAGUAGGCCAUGCAAAAUUUCAACUUCUCUUAAAGUUGGCAUGUUCUCCUCAACUAGAGUUGAGUCUUGAUUUCAUUUUCUGAGUAGAAAUAUUUACAACGCUGUCAUACAUGAGUUUUAGCUUUCCUUCUGUCUACCAACAAGUGGGCUUUUUAAAGAAUGCUUAGGGUUAAUUGGAAGUUGUUUUCUAACGGUGGGCCCGUGUAGAUUUAAAUAAUGACUAAACUGCU
rnacentral:lncRNA from 1 species